rnacentral:lncRNA from 1 species
GAUUGCUGUAAAUACCAGGAGUACAGCUAAAAUCACAGACCGCGAUUGGCUUGUGGGAGCAGUAAGCAUGGGUAUGGGAGAAGUUUACUGGGUUGUGAUUUUUUCAUAAGCCUUGUAAACAUGUGAAUUCUUAAACUACAUAUAUGUAUUAGAAGUAAAAGCAGUAUAUAUAGAAAUGAAAUAAAUAAAACGAAGUGCUCCAUUUCAAGCCUCCCCAGAACAGAAGUUGUCGACUGUGAAAAUAGAAAGGAGUCUUUAUGAUCUCCUCUUUCAGGGCAAAGCGGCCAACAUUGACCUCCAUCCUGGGCUGGGGAUGAAGCGUGGCUACCGGGCGACAUGCAUAUUGCUUCACAUGCCACCUCUUGCCUCCCAUCUUAGGAAACUCAGCUGCUUGAUUUUUCACUCUCAGGAGAUGAGACAGCCGGUCUUGGGGGAAAGUGGAAACCGCAGCACACACGACACAUUUUUCAAAUGCUUGUGUUACCCAGAGCCCUCGAGAAUGAGAAAGGAAGCUGGCGGCUUGGCAGGUGUGGAGGCCCCUUCCCGCAGACAUCUGUCAGCGGCUGUGGAAGCCCAGCCCCCUCCUCUUUGCAGAGGAAGAGCCCUGGAUUCCUGGCAAGAGCAGGCAUCCGUUCCACCGAUGUUGACCAUCUUAGCUGCCCUUUUUCACACCUUCCCAAGCAAAGGCCUCUGAAAGUGUGCUGCCCAGAACUGGACCUGAUCCUGACCAGGGAAGGAAGACUAAUUGCAGAAACGCACACGCACGGAGGCACUUCCUGCUCCCGGAUGAGCCUCUGGGGCCGCGCGGAGAGAAAGGGACGGCAGGAAGCGCCGCGGCCUCGGCGGGAGCCGGGCGCAAGGUCCCCGGUUGACGCGUACUGGGAGGCCGCCGCUCUGCCAUCAUGGUCCUCGGCUGUAAAGCCAGGCUAGCAGGAGACAAGAGUCCUGGCGAUUUGCAGACUCCUAAGACGAUUUGUGUGGUGGGAAGAUCGUCUUCCUUUUCUAUCAACGUGCUGGAGGUCAGCCGGCGCAUGUCCUGCUCCGCGAGGCCCUCUGACCACGGUGAUGGGCGCUCUCAUGGUGCGUCUCUGCACCUUCUUCCCCCGAAAUUCACCUGCCCCUGCACGACCUUUCCCAAUCGCUUCUCCAUGUCCUGUCCCAACUUGUCCUUGCUCUUUGCAUUCCGCUCUGGGUUUUAUUUUCUGCUCUGCACGUUUCUUUCGCAGGAGCGUCGGCAUUUCAUUUUUAAGCCUUCUGAUGACUUUAGGUCUUUCAAAU